rnacentral:rRNA from 1 species
GCCUGCAUGAAGUCGGAAUUGCUAGUAAUCGCAGAUCAGCAUGCUGCGGUGAAUACGUUCCCGGGCCUUGUACACACCGCCCGUCACACCAUGGGAGUCGGUAACACCCGAAGCCUGUAGUCUAACCGCAAGGAGGACGCAGUCGAAGGUGGGAUUGAUGACUGGGGUGAAGUCGUAACAAGGUACC